ACAGGUUGAUAUUCCUGUACUACCGAUAACCGUUUGAGAGAAGGGAUGACACAGUAGGAUAAGCUAAGCACACUGUUGGUUAUGUGUGCCCAAGCAUUGAGGCAGUCAAAGUAGGCAAAUCCGCUUUGAUAAUGCUGGGAUGUGAUGGGGAGCGAAAUUUAGUAGCGAAGUAGCUGAUUUCACACUGUCAAGAAAAGUCUCUAUCGAGGUUAAAGGUACCCGUACCGCAAACCGACACAGGUGGGUGAGGAGAGUAUCCUAAGGCCAGCGAGAGAACUGUUGUUAAGGAACUCGGCAAAAUGACCCCGUAACUUAGGGAUAAGGGGUGCCACCAUCAGGUGGCCGCAGAGAAUAGGCCCAAGCGACUGUUUACCAAAAACAUAGGUUUCUGCUAAGUCGCAAGACGAUGUAUAGGAGCUGACGCCUGCCCGGUGCUGGAAGGUUAAGGGGAUCUGUUAGAGUAAUCGAAGCAGUGAACUUAAGCCCCAGUAAACGGCGGCCGUAACUAUAACGGUCCUAAGGGAGCGAAAUUCCUUGUCGGGUAAGUUCCGACCCGCACGAAAGGCGUAACGAUUUGGGCACUGUCUCAACAACAGACUCGGUGAAAUUGUAAUUCCGGUGAAGAUGCCGGAUACCUGCGACAGGACGGAAAGACCCCAUGGAGCUUUACUGUAGCUUGACAUUGGGUCUUGGUACUACAUGUACAGGAUAGGUGGGAGGCUUUGAAACCAGGACGCCAGUUUUGGCGGAGCCAUCCUUGGGAUACCACCCUUGUAGUACUGGGACUCUAACCAUAGGCCAUGAAUCUGGUCUUGGGACACUGUCAGGUGGGCAGUUUGACUGGGGCGGUCGCCUCCCAAAAGGUAACGGAGGCGCUCAAAGGUUCUCUCAGUACGGUCGGAAAUCGUACGUAGAGUGUAAAGGCAAAAGAGAGCUUGAUUGCAAGACAUACAGGU
rnacentral:rRNA from 1 species